rnacentral:rRNA from 1 species
CNAGUCGCCCGCGCCAACCUGCAAGGGAGGCAGGCGCCCACGGUAUGGCUGGUGAUUGGGGUG